rnacentral:rRNA from 1 species
GAUGAACGCUGGCGGCGUGCCUAAUACAUGCAAGUCGAGCGAACGGACGAGAAUCUUGCUGCUCUGAUGUUAGCGGCGGACGGGUGAGUAACACGUGGAUAACCUACCUAUAAGACUGGGAUAACUUCGGGAAACCGGAUCUAAUACCGGAUGAUAUUUUGAACCGCAUGGGUCAAAGGUGAAAGACGGUCUUGCUGUCACUUAUAGAUGGAUCCGCGCUGCAUUAGCUAGUUGGUAAGGUAACGGCUUACCAAGGCAACGAUGCAUAGCCGACCUGAGAGGGUGAUAGGCCACCUUGGAACUGAGACACGGUCCAGACUCCUACGGGAGGCACCAGUAGGGAAUCUUCCGCAGUGGGCGAAAGCCUGACGCAGUAACGCCGAGUGAGUGAUGACGGUCUUCGGAGCGUAAAACCCUGUUAUUAGGUAAGAACCGAUGUGUAAGUAACUGUGCCCAUCUUGACGGUACUUAAUAAGGAAGCAACGGCUAACUACGUG